GCUAGCGGCAGGCUUAACACAUGCAAGUCGAACGCUCGUAGCAAUACGAGAGUGGCAGACGGGAGAGUAACACGUGGGAACGUCCCCUUCGGUUCGGAACAACCCAGGGAAACUUGGGCUAAUACCGGAUACGUCCGUAAGGAGAAAGAUUUAUCGCCGAGGGAUCGGCCCGCGUCUNAUUAGCUAGUUGGUGAGGUAACGGCCCACCAAGGCGACGAUCAGUAGCUGGUCUGAGAGGAUGAUCAGCCUCACUGGGACUGAGACACGGCCCAGACUCCUACGGGAGGCAGCAGUGGGGAAUCUUGGACAAUGGGCGCAAGCCUGAUCCAGCCAUGCCGCGUGGGUGAUGAAGGCCUUAGGGUUGUAAAGCCCUUUCGGCGGGGAAGAUAAUGACGGUACCCGCAGAAGAAGCCCCGGCUAACUUCGUGCCAGCAGCCGCGGUAAUACGAAGGGGGCUAGCGUUGCUCGGAAUCACUGGGCGUAAAGCGCACGUAGGCGG
rnacentral:rRNA from 1 species